CUUCCAUUUUGUUGGCACUGAAAUACACACAGAAGAGGAGUAGAGACUUCAAGAUCCUCUCCUCUCUGGGAGCCCACCUAGGAAUACGAAAACAGAAUUUUCUGACAUCCCUAACCACAAUAAGAAGCCUUGGUUCAGAAAGAAAGUACAUGUUCAGCAUCUCAAUAAGUUCAGCUCAUAGAUGAAAAUUCACAUGAAUCGUUUAUGAUGUCACAAGACCAUAGAAGAAUCAGACCACAAAGCCUAUGCAGUUAGCAGCCAGAAUGAAAGACAUACCUUCCUCCGACCUAUUCUGGAGCACCUCAGCUUGUGCCUGUGCCUUCACUCCUCUCCCCUUCAAUGAAUUAGAAGCAAAGCCACCAGUCCAUCCUUUGAACUGCUACAGUCCCAGAAGAAUCAGCUAAGACGACCCUUCACUAUAUGUGCAUGUGAGAUGUCUGUAAGACUUUACAUUUUGCAAGCUUGCAUCAGUCCUACCUAACAUUGUCAUGUCUCUGAAUGUAAAUUUUAUGGAAAA